rnacentral:rRNA from 1 species
GACGAACGCUGGCGGCGUGCCUAAUACAUGCAAGUGGGACGCAAGGGAACACACUGUGCUUGCACACCGUGUUCUCUUGAGUCGCGAACGGGUGAGUAACGCGUAGGUAACCUGCCUAUUAGCGGGGGAUAACUAUUGGAAACGAUAGCUAAUACCGCAUAAUAUUAAUUAUUGCAUGAUAAUUGAUUGAAAGAUGCAAGCGCAUCACUAGUAGAUGGACCUGCGUUGUAUUAGCUAGUUGGUAAGGUAAGAGCUUACCAAGGCGACGAUACAUAGCCGACCUGAGAGGGUGAUCGGCCACACUGGGACUGAGACACGGCCCAGACUCCUACGGGAGGCAGCAGUAGGGAAUCUUCGGCAAUGGACGAAAGUCUGACCGAGCAACGCCGCGUGAGUGAAGAAGGUUUUCGGAUCGUAAAGCUCUGUUGUAAGUCAAGAACGUGUGUGAGAGUGGAAAGUUCACACAGUGACGGUAGCUACCAG